rnacentral:rRNA from 1 species
GAUGAACGCUGGCGGCGUGCCUAAUACAUGCAAGUCGAGCGAACAGACGAGGAGCUUGCUCCUUUGACGUUAGCGGCGGACGGGUGAGUAACACGUGGAUAACCUACCUAUAAGACUGGGAUAACUUCGGGAAACCGGAGCUAAUACCGGAUAACAUGUUGAACCGCAUGGUUCAACAGUGAAAGACGGUCUUGCUGUCACUUAUAGAUGGAUCCGCGCCGCAUUAGCUAGUUGGUAAGGUAACGGCUUACCAAGGCAACGAUGCGUAGCCGACCUGAGCGGGUGAUCGGCCAGACUGGAACAGAGACACGGUCCAGACUCCUACGGGAGGCAGCAGUAGGGAAUCUUCCGCAAUGGGCGAGAGCCUGACGGAGCAACGCGGCGUGAGUGAAGAAGGUCUUCGGAUCGUAAAACUCUGUUAUUAGGGAAGAACAAAUGUGUAAGUAACUAUGCACGUCUUGACGGUACCUAAUCAGAAAGCCACGGCUAACUACGUG